AGAAGGGAAAAACAAUGAAAUGAAAGAGAAAAUAACCUUCAAAGAUAAGAGCACAAGAUGGGAAGUGGUGGUAAAGGUAGAGAAUUCAGAUUCUGAUCUAGCCCUGGGGGAUAGACUGUGGGGCAGCCAUAAGAAAUAUCAAGGCUUCAGGUAGCUAGCACCUUUCAAAUUGGCACCGUGGCCUCUCCCAGGGGGUGGGACCAAAUAAGAAAGUGUGAAGGGUCAUACAAAUCAGAUGUUUCAAGCAGAAGUGUGGGUUUGAUAUGCCUUCUUCUCAUUCCAUUUGCUGCACCUUUCCUCACCUGCCACACCGACUUGGUAGAGGAGGUUUGUGUUGUGGGGGGAAGGAUGAGGCAGGAAAGAAUCACUCAUCACCUAGCUCCUGAGAGCUUCAACAGAUAAUCUCGGCAGUAUCAGGCUGGUAAAUGCAGUGGUCCUGGUAUUGAGCGACUUCCCAACCUGCCCUUUACCCUCCUCCAAGCAUCGCUCCAGAGGGUACCAUGACCGGGAUGUCUCCUUACAUCGGGGAGAAGAAAAACACAAACAGUUCCACAUCACAGAGAUUCCCAUUGUGAGACAACAUCUGUUUCUGUGAGUCCAAGUGACUGGGUGUGUGUGUCUGUGCGUGUGUGUCUGUGUGUGUGUGUGAUGGCUGCCUGGGGUUAAGAGCCUCCACUACCCUCUGCUAGGUUUGGCUCAGCUGGUCAAGGGAGAUGCACUAGGGCACACAUAUCUUUCUGUCACUUUCCAAACCAACUACUCUCUCAACCAGACUUUUCAGGGUAGUGUUCCAAGUCCAGUGUGUCCCAAACAGUCUGAUUUACUUAGAGCUGUGCCCACCACUGUAGUCAUCUGGGCCAGGGGAAAACAGCAGCUGAUUUGUCCUAGGGCUGCUGGGA